rnacentral:rRNA from 1 species
GUCCACGCCCUAAACGAUGUCUACUAGUUGUCGGGACUUAAUUGUCUUGGUAACGCAGCUAACGCGUGAAGUAGACCGCCUGGGGAGUACGGUCGCAAGAUUAAAACUCAAAGGAAUUGACGGGGACCCCGCACAAGCGGUGGAUGAUGUGGAUUAAUUCGAUGCAACGCGAAAACCUUACCUACCCUUGACAUGGUUGGAAUCCCGAAGAGAUUUGGGAGUGCUCGCAAGAGAACCAAUACACAGGUGCUGCAUGGCUGUCGU